rnacentral:rRNA from 1 species
CACGUAAGUUGCGAGCGUUGUUCGGAAUUAUUGGGCGUAAAGGGCAUGUAGGCGGUUUGGCAAGCUUGGUGUGAAAUCCCAGAGCUCAACUCUGGAACUGCAUUGAGAACUGCUAGACUAGAAUUACUAAGGGGCAACUAGAAUUCCAAGUGUAGGGGUGAAAUCUGUAGAUAUUUGGAAGAAUACCAAUGGCGAAGGCAAGUUGCUGGUAGAUAAUUGACGCUGAGGUGCGAAAGUGCGGGGAUCAAACAGGAUUAGAUACCCUGGUAGUCCGCACAGUAAACGAUGUACACUAGGUGUUUGGUCAUGAGACUGGGUGCCAAAGCAAACGUGAUAAGUGUACCGCCUGGGGAGUAUGCUCGCAAGGGUGAAACUCAAAGGAAUUGACGGGGGCCCGCACAAGCGGUGGAGCAUGUGGUUUAAUUCGAUGGUACGCGAGGAACCUUACCUGGGCUUGACAUAUAGAGGAAUGAGUAAGAGAUUAUUCAGCGUAGUAAUACGUCUUUAUACAGGUGCUGCAUGGCU